rnacentral:rRNA from 1 species
UGCCAGCCGCCGCGGUAAUACGGAGGGCGCAAGCGUUGUUCGGAAUUACUGGGCGUAAAGGGCGGGCAGGCGGUCUGUUAAGUCUUUUGUGAAAAUCCGGGGCUCAACCCCGUGAAACGCAGAAGAUACUGGCAGACUUGAGACCAGUAGAGGCUAGCGGAAUUCCUGGUGUAGCGGUGGAAUGCGUAGAUAUCAGGAAGAACACCUGUGGCGAAGGCGGCUAGCUGGGCUGGAUCUGACGCUCAUCCGCGAAAGUGUGGGGAGCAAACAGGAUUAGAUA